UACGUAGGGUGCGAGCGUUAAUCGGAAUUACUGGGCGUAAAGCGUGCGCAGGCGGUUUGAUAAGUCAGAUGUGAAAUCCCCGGGCUCAACCUGGGAACUGCGUUUGAAACUAUCAAGCUAGAGUAUGGGAGAGGGAGGUAGAAUUCACGUGUAGCAGUGAAAUGCGUAGAGAUGUGGAGGAAUACCAAUGGCGAAGGCAGCCUCCUGGCCGUAAA
rnacentral:rRNA from 1 species